AAUACAUUUGAAAACAGAAGAGAAAAAAAAAAUAAAAUUAGAGUAGCUCGGUUCCAAUUUUCCACUAAUUUGUCUUUAUUUUCAUUAGAAAACUCUUUACUGGUGGGGCUGAACAUAUACUUUAAAUUUAUUCCAGAUACCAUUUUUUAAUUUAGUUGCUGCCUGACAUGAUAUAUGAAUCCUGGGCUAGUCCAAGGCUGAGCUCUUAUAAAAACUGUUUUCCCUAUGCAGCAUGUGAUCAGGAUGCAGGGAGUGCCUUCCCAGCCUUACCUCCAUUUGGGGAAGGACUUUAUCCUCAGUUCCCAGCACCAGGAACCAUUUCUUUGUACCUCAAUGCUUCUGCUUCUCUCUCUCUCCUUGUUUUUUUGUUUUUUUUUUUUAGUUUUAGUUUUAGGACAGACUGAAUAGGAAACGGAUUUCAACAGAUACCUUUGUGUAAUUUAAGAAAUAAUUUAUUUUAAACUAUGUUCACUUGUAUCCAGAAGCAUUUGCACAGCAGGAGUUUUGCCAGUGAUAGUUUCGCUUUGAUUUGCUGGCUGUAAGUGGGAAGGGAGGUGGGCUGCUCCAGCUUCACUGUUUUGCUAAGCAAAAUGAAAGAAGAAAGCAAAAACCACAGACAAAUAAUAAAAGUAAUUGAAAUGACUUCAUGCUUCUCCAUCUGACAUGUUAUUAGAAACACAUGUAAUACUUCACUUUUCAAAACAGGAGGUUUAUUUGGCAGCAUCCUUUUCACAUGGAUACUUGUGAAAGGAGAAAGAUGGGCCUGAACCAAAACCUUGGAGCAGAGCACCCUCUGGGAACAGGAGUAUUUGAAUCCAAACUUUGUCUUAGGCCCAUCUCUAAUAUUUUGAAAUGUGAAAGAUGUUAAAUCAUUGGACGCAAUAAGUUAGGCUUUUUUUUUAAGGAUCCAGAAAUCAAAUUGCCAUCUGUCAAGAGGAAAAAAACACAGAAUUUAUUAAAGAGCAAAUGCAAAAUCAAUUAAACAUGUUCCUUGCGGAGUUUACUGGGUUUUUUUUCUGAUAGAUUUGUAUUUGAUCUCACUCCUAGUGCUUUAUUUACAGAAUAAAUCUUGCUCCUAGUGCUCUGAAUUCCUGCCCAGCAAUGCAGCUGUUGAGUUCCAAAUGGUACAACAACCCUGCAGUGCAUGCAGCUGCUGCAAGCUGUGUCUGCUUUAGCUGCAUAAAUAAAAGGACACAGGGCUGCUCUAAAACUCUCGUUAUUCAGCAUUACCAACCUGCAGGAGACCAAAUGAGGAGCAAAACUGAUCCACACAAACUCUGCUCCUUGAUUUACCUUACCCAGUUACACAGUUCCUGGUGAGCAUCACUAAAGGGGUGAGGAUAUGUAGAAAAGAAGAAAAAUUUGUAAGGAAAGACAAAGCCACCAGAAAAUGUCACAGUGCCUUAGUGUGGGUUGGAGCCUCUAUUUUUGUUUCCUUUCUUGUUCUGAUUUUCAGAGCCUCAUGCAGGAGCUGCUGGGCUCCCCUGGGCAGGUGCAGCACCCGGAGUGUUUGUGGUACCCUCUGUGGAUAUCCUGCUCUCUGCAACAUCUGCAUUUGCAUCAGGAGCUCCCUGCAGACUAGGGCAAUUAGCCCAGAGGGGAAAAUUGGACAGCAGCCCUAGAGGAGCAGCUCCUGCCCUGUCCCAGAGCUGGGAUGCUCCUGGGAUGCUCCUGGGACAGUGGGAUGUGCACAGGGCUCUGGGAGAGAAACCACCAAGACUGAGGCUUCCAGAAGUCCAAGAGCUUCUUUCUGGAGGCCCAAACAGACCACAUGACUUUAUUAGAAAGCACACACUGUAUUUUAGAAUUGUCAUUAUCAUGAUUAGCAUGUACUGAGCUCUCUAUCCUUCCCAAAGGCCACAGCCUGACCUGGGGCUCUCUGCAGUGGCACAGGGUGGCCAGGGAGGAUAUGAGUGUUAUCCUUUUUCCACUGAAACAAAAGACUAUGUAGGUAAAACUCAUGUUUUAUUUAGAAACACAGGCUAGCAGUUUAAAUUCACAUCCACUUUAAUGUUAGAAUAACAUCUGCAGGGCCUCUGUGUGCCCUGUGCCCCGAAGCUGGAGCAAAUCUGCCACUGGUUCUUGCACUGCAAUGUCUCAGCUUUUAUCACACAACUGCACUGACUUGACAUGACAACACCAGCCCUUACACAAUCUGCAUAUCUCUCAUCUCACCAAAAAAUGAUUUUAUCCUAAAUGAAGCUUUCAAUAAACAUUGUAGGAGCUCCCUAAUCCUUCCCUCAGCUCUCCUUGUGCAUUUUCUCUUGAAGGUGUAUUUCCCUCUCUCCAGUCACUGACUGCAGCUGUCCUGAUUUACCACCCACACAUCCUUUUUUUUAAUUUUUUUUUUUUUUCACCAGAUAUCACCUGGUGCUUCCAGGAACCUCACCCACACUCCAGGCCAACCACAUGGGUAUAUUACUUUGGCUAAUUAGCCAACCCACCCAGGCUGACCCAAAAAGUCUAAUUAGCAUUACAUUCCUAAUUGAGAAAUCUUACUCAUGGUUUUUCAAUAGUAAUCCAGCCCUUUUCAAGAGUCUUUCUUUCAGACAGUCAGAAACCUUGAUACUCGAUAUUAAAGGCAGGCUUUGAACCAGCCUUGUUUGCUGCCCUGAGCCAAGACCUUUAAUAAAAUCCAGGCUCCUUCUAAAACACCAGUUGUUGGCAAAUGAGCUGCAGACUUCUCACCUCUGCAAGGUGCUGCCAGAGCAGUUUUGUGGGAGCUCCUCUCUGAGCAGAGGUGCUGGACCAGACCUGUCCUGCAGAUGGAUUCAUCCCUCUUGCUGAUUUUCUGUUCUCCUUUGCUGCCCAGCCUAGAAGUUCACCCUCCUACCACCUUUCUGUAGCACAAACAUGUUUUCCUGUGCUGCAGCUCUGAUCUGCAAACAUGCUGGUUUCAAACUCUGCAGGGAUCAAGGGUUAAAUGCAGGGUUUCAUCAUGGAAAAUGGCCCUGCACAGGUCCUAGUGUGGAUGCUCUGGGCUAAAGAGCAGAAUCAGUGCUACAGGAGGUGCUUGGGAUGAUUUGGGAUCACCUGAAUGAGAUGUGGUGGCUGAUGGCAGGAGGAGCCCCUUUGGUUUUCAUUUUGAGGAACACAAUUUUCACAUCCCACCCAAAUUCCCAAGGAGAAGGGGUUGCUGGUGUGGACAGGAACGUUCUGUAGGGCUGCCUAAAGGAGCUGUCCUGUGCAAAGGGGUUUGCUGUUUAUAUAACUGCCCCCAAAAAUACAGCUUCACCUGGGGAAGUCUCCAAGCCACAUGAAUGCUGCAAAUCCACUCCAGGGAUUUCUCAGCUCUGGGUAGAACAAGUGAGGAUUUUUCUGCAUAAUGACCUUUAGGAAUAUUGGCUAAUUACAGCCAGAGCACAAACCCCACCACUUAUCUAGAAUAUGUCUCUAGAUGAACCUCUGGCACUUCCUUCUUUUCCAUGCUUACCUGAAACUGUCUCCUUAGAGUUUUAGGGGUAGAACUGGCAGGAAAAGCUGUUUUUUCUUCAAAUAAGUUGCAUUAGAAUUUGAUCACGGCAUUACUUCUUUUUCUACCUUUAUAUAAAUGCAGAUUGGAUUCAUAGACACUUGAAUUUUGAACAGUCUGAAGAAUGUUGAAAUGGGUGGGAGCAAAAGCAGCAACUUGGCAGGGAAAUAGCCCUUGGGCAAAAGAGAUGCUAAACAGAGUCCUAGCAAAAAUUGAUUUUGAUUUGGCUGAGGUUGAAGACUUUGUGAACUGUAGUUGGAGCACGUAGAGUUGUUUUUGGGUCUCGUUUGGUUUUCUUUGUAAUUCAAGGACAGGAGUUUUUCAUAGGUAUUUCAAUAUUUGAGGGGAAAGCCAUGUUUUUCAGGUCAAGGAGGAGAGGGAUCAAUUGAGAGUUGCCAAAAUAUGAGCUGAGUUAGGGAUCAUAAAGGAACAGGAAUAAAUAGUAAAAUGCUUAAGUAACAAGAGAA